rnacentral:rRNA from 1 species
AUUGAACGCUGGCGGCAGGCCUAACACAUGCAAGUCGAGCGGGGUUUUCGGACCUAGCGGCGGACGGGUGAGUAAUGCGUAGGAAGCUACCCGAUAGAGGGGGAUACCAGUUGGAAACGACUGUUAAUACCGCAUAAUGUCUACGGACCAAAGUGUGGGACCUUCGGGCCACAUGCUAUCGGAUGCGCCUACGUGGGAUUAGCUAGUUGGUGAGGUAAUGGCUCACCAAGGCGACGAUCUCUAGCUGGUUUGAGAGGAUGAUCAGCCACACUGGAACUGAGACACGGUCCAGACUCCUACGGGAGGCAGCAGUGGGGAAUAUUGGACAAUGGGCGCAAGCCUGAUCCAGCCAUGCCGCGUGUGUGAAGAAGGCCU